CUCUUUAGUUGAAUGUUCGCUGACUCUGUUUGUUUGUAGUAUAGGUUUAGUUGAAUGUUCGCUGACUCUGUUUGUUUGUAGUAUAGGUUUAGUUGAAUGUUCGCUGACUCUGUUUGUUUGUAGUAUAGGUUUAGUUGAAUGUUCGCUGACUCUGUUUGUUUGUAGUAUAGGUUUAGUUGAAUGUUCGCUGACUCUGUUUGUUUGUAGUAUAGGUUUAGUUGAAUGUUCGCUGACUCUGUUUGUUUGUAGUAUAGGUUUAGUUGAAUGUUCGCUGACUCUGUUUGUUUGUAGUAUAGGUUUAGUUGAAUGUUCGCUGACUCUGUUUGUUUGUAGUAUAGGUUUAGUUGAAUGUUCGCUGACUCUGUUUGUUUGUAGUAUAGGUUUAGUUGAAUGUUCGCUGACUCUGUUUGUUUGUAGUAUAGGUUUAGUUGAAUGUUCGCUGACUCUGUUUGUUUGUAGUAUAGGUUUAGUUGAAUGUUCGCUGACUCUGUUUGUAGUAUAGGUUUAGUUGAAUGUUCGCUGACUCUGUUUGUUUGUAGUAUAGGUUUAGUUGAAUGUUCGCUGACUCUGUUUGUUUGUAGUAUAGGUUUAGUUGAAUGUUCGCUGACUCUGUUUGUUUGUAGUAUAGGCUUUCCAAGGUUUCUUCACAUUUGAAGAUCAUGACGUCAUUACCACGAAUUUCUCCUUAGCUUUGGACAUUUCCUAUUCCAAAUAAAAUGCAUUCAUUACGAACUAA